GGCUGUGUAGCUCAGUGGUUGAGCACUUGCCUAGCAUGCACAAAGCCCUGGGUUUGAUCCCCAGUACCCCA
rnacentral:tRNA from 1 species